AUUGAACGCUGGCGGCAGGCCUAACACAUGCAAGUCGAGCGGAUGAAGGGAGCUUGCUCCUGGAUUCAGCGGCGGACGGGUGAGUAAUGCCUAGGAAUCUGCCUGGUAGUGGGGGAUAACGUCCGGAAACGGGCGCUAAUACCGCAUACGUCCUGAGGGAGAAAGUGGGGGAUCUUCGGACCUCACGCUAUCAGAUGAGCCUAGGUCGGAUUAGCUAGUUGGUGGGGUAAAGGCCUACCAAGGCGACGAUCCGUAACUGGUCUGAGAGGAUGAUCAGUCACACCGGCACUGGGACCCCGUCCACGCCCCUACCGGGGGCAGCCGUGGGGAAUAUUGGACAAUGGGCGAAAGCCUGAUCCAGCCACGCCGCGUGUGUGAAGAAGGUCUUCGGAUUGUAAAGCACUUUAAGUUGGGAGGAAGGGCAGUAAGUUAAUACCUUGCUGUUUUGACGUUACCAACAGAAUAAGCACCGGCUAACUUCGUG
rnacentral:rRNA from 1 species